rnacentral:rRNA from 1 species
AUUGAACGCUGGCGGCAGGCCUAACACAUGCAAGUCGAACGGUAACAGGAAGAAGCUUGCUUCUUUGCUGACGAGUGGCGGACGGGUGAGUAAUGUCUGGGAAACUGCCUGAUGGAGGGGGAUCACUACUGGAAACGGUAGCUAAUACCGCAUAACGUCGCAAGACCAAAAAGGGGGACCUUCGGGCCUCUUGCCAUCGGAUGUGCCCCGAUGGGAUUAGCUAGUAGGUGGGGUAACGGCUCACCUAGGCGCCGAUCCCUAGCUGGUCUGAGAGGAUGACCAGCCACACUGGAACUGAGACACGGUCCAGACUCCUACGGGAGGCAGCAGUGGGGAAUAUUGCACAAUGGGCGCAAGCCUGAUGCAGCCAUGCCGCGUGUAUGAAGAAGGACUUCGGGUUGUAAAGUACUUUCAGCGGGGAGGAAGGGAGUAAAGUUAAUACCUUUGCUCAUUGACGUUACCCGCAGAAGAAGCACCGGCUAACUCCGUG